rnacentral:rRNA from 1 species
UGGGUGCCUGCCCAUAAGAGGGGGAUAAAAUCCGGAAACGGGUGCUAAUACCGCAUAGUUUUCUUGAUCGCAUGAUUGAGAAAGGAAAGACGGCCUUUGUGCUGUCGCUUAUGGAUGGACCCGCGGCGUAUUAGUUAGUUGGUGAGGUAAUGGCUCACCAAGACGAUGAUACGUAGCCGACCUGAGAGGGUGAUCGGCCACAUUGGGACUGAGACACGGCCCAAACUCCUACGGGAGGCAGCAGUAGGGAAUCUUCCGCAAUGGACGAAAGUCUGACGGAGCAACGCCGCGUGAGUGAAGAAGGUUUUCGGAUCGUAAAACUCUGUUGUCAGAGAAGAACAAGUCGGAUUUUUAACUGCUCCGGCCUUGACGGUAUCUGACCAGAAAGCCACGGCUAACUACGUGCCAGCAGCCGCGGUAAUACGUAGGUGGCAAGCGUUGUCCGGAUUUAUUGGGCGUAAAGCGAGCGCAGGCGGUUCCUUAAGUCUGAUGUGAAAGCCCACGGCUCAACCGUGGAAGGUCAUUGGAAACUGGGGAACUUGAGUGCAGAAGAGGAGAGUGGAAUUCCAUGUGUAGCGGUGAAAUGCGUAGAUAUAUGGAGGAACACCAGUGGCGAAGGCGACUCUCUGGUCUGUAACUGACGCUGAGGCUCGAAAGCGUGGGGAGCAAACAGGAUUAGAUACCCUGGUAGUCCACGCCGUAAACGAUGAGUGCUAAGUGUUGGAGGGUUUCCACCCUUCAGUGCUGCAGCUAACGCAUUAAGCACUC